UUUUUUUUUUCCUGGGAGAGAUCUACGGCUGGGAAUACUCAGCCAAGAAGAUGGGAAAGGCCUGGCCAUGUGUUCCAGGAGACAACUGGUGUUAUCUGCAGUAUGGCCAAGGUGGUCUCCAGCCCUUCGAAGUCACUGAGCUCAUCUUCCAGCAUCUGCAUGCUACUGCUCCUGACAGCUCUGUCAUAGCUGGGAUCUGGCUCGGUAGGUUGGUCGGUCCAUCUUUGAUUUUUGUCAUUUGGGGCAGGCACUCCUCAGCACCCAAGAAGUUCUCUCAUUCUUUGUGAAGGGGUGGGGAUCCAGAAUGCAUCCCAUGAAACAUCUUGCUGUCAGUGGCAGGAGUUGCAGCAGCAAGCCUCUGUUUUCAAGAAAUGCAAGUUUUGCCUCGUUUGCAGAGUUUGUUGAAGAUUUCUUUAAUAUAACUCGUCAUAAAUGAUAUGAAUCUCUGUGACUCAGACCACAAACUCUUAAUGUUUAGGCAAUAAAAACGGGGUUUGUUCAUUU